rnacentral:rRNA from 1 species
GACGAACGCUGGCGGCGUGCCUAAUACAUGCAAGUCGAGCGAAGCGGGGACGGGUGAGUAACACGUAAGGAACCUCCGAUAAGCGGGGGACAACAUCCGGAAACGGGUGCUCAACCGCAUAUUUAUCGAUGGCCUGCGUGCAUUAGCUCGUUGGUGGGGUAACGGCCUACCAGGCAAUGAUGCAGAUCCGACCGAGCGGGUAAUCGGCGACAUUGGGACUGAGACACGGCCCGAACUCCAACGGGAGGCAGCGGUAGGGAAGCUUCCGCAAUGGGCGCAAGCCUGACGGAGAAACGCCGCGGUAAUUC